UCAAAGAACUUUAUGCAUCAUUUAUCUUGAGCCUUGUUUUUGCAAAAAGAACAGUUACCUGAGGCUUGGGCGGGGGGUAGGGGAUAGAUAUUUGAGGUGUAUUUACACCAAUAAUCGAGUUAGGGAGGAAAAAAGACACAAAACCUCUGGUUUAGCGGUUUUCUCCUCCCAUCUGUAGCCCCUUCUCGCUGUCCUCCCAGCAAUGAAAGUUCCUUUAUUUGUCCAGCACGAAAGGGCCAAAGAAACAGGUUUAUCCUCUCGCCCAAAAGUCAUUUCUGAGGCGGCUAAUCAGACAUAUACAGAGCACAGAGCCCUGCUUGGGAAGGAAGGUUUAGAGAACAAAUUGCCUUUUAAAACUGCUGGGCUGGACCUGCUUCUUCCAAAGCUAAAAAUGACUUCUUUUUCUUUCUCCCGGGGGGCACCCAAAGCCUUUGGAUGGCAGGGGCUUCAGCAACAUCAUUCUACCCCUAUUCCAGAGUGAGAGCAGUUGAAUUCCUCUGAGCCCAUGGAUCCCAAUGACAUGUUAGCUACACUGACUUUGUGUCACCAUUGCUUCUGGUGCUCCAGAAGCAGAUUGGACAAGACUACAUGAUUUCAAAGCCUUUUAAUCUCUCUUGCCUUUGGCCCUGUCACUUAUCUGACCUACUUUCAAUUUUUCAUGUUCCAGUCUUCCAUCCCUUUUAUUAAUCUGCUUCCUUUCCACAUCAUCAGCCCAACUCCCUACUUCCUUCUAACUAUAGCAAACUGCUAAACCCCAGUACUUUUGCUCUCUUGUUCAUAUUCUCCUCAAAAGUCACCCAAAGUAUCCUGGAAGCAAAUAGAAGUGCUUAAAAAGAUUUUUGCAGUGAGAAGCCCAGAGAUGACUUGGCCUAUUUGCCACUUGAUGUUGUUCUUGCUCCUG